rnacentral:rRNA from 1 species
CCUACGGGUGGCAGCAGUCGAGAAUCAUUCACAAUGGGGGAAACCCUGAUGGUGCGACGCCGCGUGGGGGAAUGAAGGUCUUCGGAUUGUAAACCCCUGUCAUGUGGGAGCAAAUUAAAAAGAUAGUACCACAAGAGGAAGAGACGGCUAACUCUGUGCCAGCAGCCGCGGUAAUACAGAGGUCUCAAGCGUUGUUCGGAAUCACUGGGCGUAAAGCGUGCGGAGGCUGUUUCGUAAGUCGUGUGUGAAAGGCGCGGGCUCAACCCGCGGACGGCACAUGAUACUGCGAGACUAGAGUAGUGGAGGGGGAACCGGAAUUCUCGGUGUAGCAGUGAAAUGCGUAGAUAUCGAGAGGAACACUCGUGGCGAAGGCGGGUUCCUGGACAUUAACUGACGCUGAGGCACGAAGGCCAGGGGAGCGAAAGGGAUUAGAUACCCCAGUAGUC